CAGUCGCCGCGGGAACACGGAGGGGGCUAGCGUUGUUCGGAAUUACUGGGCGUAAAGCGCACGUAGGCGGCUUGGUAAGUUAGAGGUGAAAGCCCGGAGCUCAACUCCGGAAUUGCCUUUAAGACUGCCGAGCUAGUAGGUGAGAGAGGUAAGUGGAAUUCCGAGUGUAGAGGUGAAAUUCGUAAAUAUUCGGAAGAACACCAGUGGCGAAGGCGGCCUACUGGCUCAUUCUAGACGCUGAGGUGCGAAAGCGUGGGGAGCAAACAGGAUUAGAUACCGGGUAGUCCCUGUCUCUUAUACC
rnacentral:rRNA from 1 species